GUGGGGAAUAUUAGGCAAUGGGCGAAAGCCUGACCUAGCAACGCCGCGUGAAGGAAGAAGGCCUUCGGGUUGUAAACUUCUUUUAUGAGGGACGAAGGACGUGACGGUACCUCAUGAAUAAGCCACGGCUAACUACGUGCCAGCAGCCGCGGUAAUACGUAGGUGGCGAGCGUUGUCCGGAUUUACUGGGUGUAAAGGGCGCGUAGGCGGACUGGCAAGUCAGAUGUGAAAUACAGGGGCUCAACCCCUGAACUGCAUUUGAAACUGUUGGUCUUGAGUAUCGGAGAGGCAAGCGGAAUUCCUAGUGUAGCGGUGAAAUGCGUAGAUAUUAGGAGGAACACCAGUGGCGAAGGCGGCUUGCUGGACGACAACUGACGCUGAGGCGCGAAAGCGUGGGGAGCAAACAGGAUUAGAAACCCGAGUAGUCC
rnacentral:rRNA from 1 species